rnacentral:piRNA from 1 species
UGUUGGGUUGUCCAUAAAUCUACUCAGA